UACGUAGGGGGCUAGCGUUGUCCGGAAUCAUUGGGCGUAAAGCGCGUGUAGGCGGUUCGGUAAGUCCGCUGUGAAAGUCGGGGGCUCAACCCUCGAAUGCCGGUGGAUACUGUCGGACUAGAGUACGGAAGAGGCGAGUGGAAUUCCUGGUGUAGCGGUGGAAUGCGCAGAUAUCAGGAGGAACACCAAUAGCGAAGGCAGCUCGCUGGGACGUUACUGACACUAAGGCGCGAAAGCGUGGGGAGCGAACAGG
rnacentral:rRNA from 1 species